rnacentral:lncRNA from 1 species
GAAAAAGCAACUGCCGGAGCUUUUGCUCUUCUUAGGUCAGAAAGUAUAAACAUGUCAAGACUGGACUUGUCAUCGAAAGAACUGUGUUUGCCUGUGUCUGACACAAAAUGCUACUGGAAAUUGGAGCACUGGUCGACCAUACAGGGCAUUGCAAGACAGAGUAAGAGGUAGCUCCAAUCUCUGGGUGAGAUACAAGACAGAAGGAAGAGAUCUCCUCAUGUUUGCUUACUCUUUGACCUCUGGAUUUCCUAGAGAGUUCAGCAAACACCCUUCUAUGGUCCUACGACAGACAGUGGGAAUGAAAGGCUGCUGUUGGAUCUGUUCUUGC